AUUGAACGCUGGCGGCAGGCCUAACACAUGCAAGUCGAGCGGAGCGGCGGACGGGUGAGUGAUGCCUAGGAAUCUGCCGGGUAGUGGGGGAUAACGUCCGGAAACGGGCGCUAAUACCGCAUAAUAUCAGAUGAGCCUAGGUCGGAUUAGCUAGUUGGUGGGGUAAAGGCCUACCAAGGCGACGAUCCGUAACUGGUCUGAGAGGAUGAUCAGUCACACUGGAACUGAGACACUGUUCAGACUCCUACGGGAGGCAGCAGUGGGGAAUAUUUGACAAUGGGCGCAAGCCUGAUUCAGCCAUGCCGCGUGUGUGAAGAAGGUCUUCUGAUUGUAAAGUCCUUUUAGUCGGGAUGCGUUACCAACAGAAGUCUCACCUGCUAACUUCUUGCCAGCAGCCGCGGUAAUAC
rnacentral:rRNA from 1 species